UGGGGAAUUUUGGACAAUGGGCGCAAGCCUGAUCCAGCAAUGCCGCGUGCAGGAUGAAGGCCUUCGGGUUGUAAACUGCUUUUGUACAGAACGAAAAGUCUUGGGUUAAUACCCUGGGACCAUGACGGUACUGUAAGAAUAAGCACCGGCUAACUACGUGCCAGCAGCCGCGGUAAUACGUAGGGUGCAAGCGUUAAUCGGAAUUACUGGGCGUAAAGCGUGCGCAGGCGGUUAUGUAAGACAGAGGUGAAAUCCCCGGGCUCAACCUGGGAACGGCCUUUGUGACUGCAUAGCUAGAGUACGGUAGAGGGGGAUGGAAUUCCGCGUGUAGCAGUGAAAUGCGUAGAUAUGCGGAGGAACACCGAUGGCGAAGGCAAUCCCCUGGACCUGUACUGACGCUCAUGCACGAAAGCGUGGGGAGCAAACAGGAUUAGAUACCCUGGUAGUCCACGCCCUAAACGAUGUCAACUGGUUGUUGGGUCUUAACUGACUCAGUAAC
rnacentral:rRNA from 1 species